AAACCAGCACCUCAAGUGGUCAGGAUGAUUAUUGGGCCUAAAGCAUCCGUAGCCUGUUCUGUAAGUUUCCGGUUAAAUCCAUUAGCUCAACUAAUGGGCCGCCGAAAAUACUGCAAAACUAGGGAGUGGGAGAGGUAGACGGUACUCGGUAGGAAGGGGUAAAAUCCUUUGAUCUAUUGAUGACCACCUGUGGCGAAGGCGGUCUACCAGAACACGUUCGACGGUGAGGGAUGAAAGCUGGGGGAGCAAACCGGAUUAGAUACCCGAGUAGUCC
rnacentral:rRNA from 1 species